UACAGAGGGUGCGAGCGUUAAUCGGAAUUACUGGGCGUAAAGCGUGCGUAGGCGGCCAACUAAGUCAUACGUGAAAUCCCUCAGCUUAACUGGGGAACUGCGUGUGAUACUGGAUGGCUUGGAUUUGGGAGAGGGAUGCGGAAUUCCAGGUGUAGCGGUGAAAUGCGUAGAUAUCUGGAGGAACACCGGUGGCGAAGGCGGCAUCCUGGACCAAUAUUGACGCUGAGGAGCGAAAGCUAGGGGAGCAAACGGG
rnacentral:rRNA from 1 species